rnacentral:lncRNA from 1 species
UACAUCUAUACUACAAUUGUCAAAAAGAGGGUUUAAUUUGUGUGUCAAGUAAUUCUCACAUCAGUGGCCCGAAGAUGAGUUCCUUCUUCACUUGGUUGGUGGCAUGAAUGGCAAGUUGCCAAAUGAUAUUAGAGUACGGGUUGUACAUUUCAACACCUGGUUGGUGGCAUGAAUAAGAGUACGGGUUGUGCAUUUCAUCACCUGGCUGGUGGCAUGAAGAUGAGUUCCUUCUUCACAUUUCAUUACCUGGUUGGUGUCGAGUCACAUUGUAGCAAGUGUCGAGUGACACAAAGUAUGUUGAACCCUUUCGAAGCACAGUUGGCUUAUGUAUGAAUGUGUUGGAAUGUAUGAUUGAACGAAUAUACUGUGAAGUUGUUCGUUUAUUUGUAUAGUCUUGUUGACAUAUACUUAGACUUUGUUUCAUGUUGGAAACAUUCAUGUUGAAGCUUUGAACCCAAGUGUUUCAUUGCUAGGAAUGUAAGAGGAUUAGGACCG